rnacentral:rRNA from 1 species
CAGUCGCCGCGGUAAAACGUAGGUGGCAAGCGUUGUCCGGAAUUAUUGGGCGUAAAGGGCUCGCAGGCAGUUUCUUAAGUCUGAUGUGAAAGCCCCCGGCUCAACCGGGGAGGGUCAUUGGAAACUGGGAAACUUGAGUGCAGAAGAGGAGAGUGGAGUUCCACGUGUAGCGGUGAAAUGCGUAGAGAUGUGGAGGAACACCAGUGGCGAAGGCAACUCUCUGGUCUGUAACUGACGCUGAGGAGCGAAAGCGUGGGGAGCGAACAGGAUUAGAUACCCCCGUAGUCCUGUCUCUUAUACC